GAGUAUGGGAAGAGUAUAUAGAAAAGAGCGCCAAAUCCAUAUUUACUACUGGAAAGAUGAUAUUAUUCGCUGCACUUGUAAACAAACACACACAAGCAUGCCUGAAAAAUAGCCCUUUUACGCUAAAUAUUUCUUAUACCCAUUCCAUUUUUAAGAAAUAUGCCUAAUUUUUCAAUACAAAUACAGACAAAUGCUUGGCCGCACGGGCACAGGUACAGUCAUCUCCAGCAAUAUGCUUUGCUUGUGCUUUAAUGUACCAGUUUACACUAAACUCAAAGUGCCCAAUUUUUGCCAUUUUUGUGCAAAUAAAUCAUCUACAGAUAAAUUAUGUCAAAUAAUGC